rnacentral:rRNA from 1 species
CGGUAGCUAAUACCGCAUAACGUCGCAGGACCAAAGAGGGGGACCUUCGGGCCUCUUGCCAUCAGAUGUGCCCAGAUGGGAUUAGCUAGUAGGUGGGGUAACGGCUCACCUAGGNGACGAUCCCUAGCUGGUCUGAGAGGAUGACCAGCCACACUGGAACUGAGACACGGUCCAGACUCCUACGGGAGGCAGCAUG